rnacentral:rRNA from 1 species
GACGAACGCUGGCGGCGUGCUUAACACAUGCAAGUCGAACGGAAAGGCCCUUCGGGGUCCUCGAGUGGCGAACGGGUGAGUAACACGUGGGUGAUCUGCCCUGCACUUUGGGAUAAGCCUGGGAAACUGGGUCUAAUACCGAAUAGGACCACGCGCUUCAUGGUGUGUGGUGGAAAGCUUUUGCGGUGUGGGAUGGGCCCGCGGCCUAUCAGCUUGUUGGUGGGGUAAUGGCCUACCAAGGCGACGACGGGUAGCCGGCCUGAGAGGGUGACCGGCCACACUGGGACGGAGAUACGGCCCAGACUCCUACGGGAGGCAGCAGUGGGGAAUAUUGCACAAUGGGCGCAAGCCUGAUGCAGCGACGCCGCGUGAGGGAUGACGGCCUUCGGGUUGUAAACCUCUUUCAAUAGGGACGAAGCGCAAGGGACGGUACCUAUAGAAGAAGCACCGGCCAACUACGU